UGACCUUGAGAAUUGAGAUUAUCAAAUUAUAUUAUGUUAAGUAAAGAUAUUGAAUUCUGUGUGAUAAAUUGAGAAAGUGAAUAUAACAAGUAAGCUGGAGAUCAAUAAUUGAAUAUAUAUAAACUGCAAAGAGAGUAAAUGGGAGAUGAAUGGAUAAGAAUAGGAAAGUAUUGUUGAAUUGAUAGUCAUAGAAUGGAUUAUAUAUUGAAUUA
rnacentral:lncRNA from 1 species